rnacentral:rRNA from 1 species
UAACAACUUUCAGCAGUGGAUGUCUAGGCUCGCACAUCGAUGAAGAACGCUGCGAACUGCGAUACGUAAUGCGAAUUGCAGGAUUCAGUGAGUCAUCGAAAUUUUGAACGCAUAUUGCACUUUCGGGUUAUCCCUGGAAGUAUGCCUGUAUCAGUGUCCGUA